UGCAACAGGGCUGGGACCAGGGUGGA
rnacentral:piRNA from 1 species